UACGGAGGGGGCUAGCGUUGUCCGGAAUCAUUGGGCGUAAAGCGCGUGUAGGCGGUCCGGUAAGUCCGCUGUGAAAGUCGAGGGCUCAACCCUCGAAUGCCGGUGGAUACUGUCGGGCUUGAGUACGGGAGAGGCGAGUGGAAUUCCUGGUGUAGCGGUGAAAUGCGCAGAUAUCAGGAGGAACACCGAUUGCGAAGGCAGCUCGCUGGACCGUUACUGACGCUGAGACGCGAAAGCGUGGGGAGCAAACAGG
rnacentral:rRNA from 1 species